GGUGAACGCUGGCGGCGUGCCUAAUACAUGCAAGUCGAGCGAAUGGAUUAAGAGCUUGCUCUUAUGAAGUUAGCGGCGGACGGGUGAGUAACACGUGGGUAACCUGCCCAUAAGACUGGGAUAACUCCGGGAAACCGGGGCUAAUACCGGAUAACAUUUUGAACCGCAUGGUUCGAAAUUGAAAGGCGGCUUCGGCUGUCACUUAUGGAUGGACCCGCGUCGCAUUAGCUAGUUGGUGAGGUAACGGCUCACCAAGGCAACGAUGCGUAGCCGACCUGAGAGGGUGAUCGGCCACACUGGGACUGAGACACGGCCCAGACUCCUACGGGAGGCAGCAGUAGGGAAUCUUCCGCAAUGGAUGAAAGUCUGACGGAGCAACGCCGCGUGAGUGAUGAAGGCUUUCGGGUCGUAAAACUCUGUUGUUAGGGAAGAACAAGUGGUAGUUGAAUAAGCUGGCACCUUGACGGUACCUAACCAGAAAGCCACGGCUAACUACGUGCCAGCAGCCGCGGUAA
rnacentral:rRNA from 1 species